UUUUCUUGGUAGAUUUGUUCAAUUGAUGUUCUGAUUUCGUAGCUGGCUCAACACCGUUGGUGGAGUUUACAUCGCUCGAUGUCAGAUGUCCAAUGAUUCAAUUACUCCCUAUUUUCCCCCUCUCACAUCUUCCAUUUUUUUAAAAUGUGAAGCAGAUUCAAGUCGGCUGCCUUGAAGAGAUCUGUAGUGCACCGCCUUUCCACAAUCUAAAUUAUCGGAGUGCAAGGAAUAACCCAUAGCCUCGGCAAGAACAACAACCCAGUAAGUUCGGAAAAUUGGACGGUAAUCUUUCAUUUGUUUAAGGUUGAUUUUUUAUACUUUUCAUUUGCCGCCGAUUGAGUGAUGUGCCGCUCUAAUGUGCUCCGACAGUUAAAAUUGGAUUGGUACACGUACCAGUCCCUUAUAGUUUACUCAUCUCCAACCUGUUGAUUGAUUGUUAAAUGGAAAAAAUGAACAUAUUUUGAAAGGGUAUGCGCUUUCUAAUGCAGGGAUUCAUCAAUGUCCGACUUGUGGGUGUAUGAACCAAAUUUAUUCCUUGCUAUGUGAUGACGUUUAUUGUCAAAUUAUGUGGUUGUUGUUUUGGUCUGAAGCUUGAACUACUUGCUGCUGUUACACCAUUUUGUCUCAGUUUCUCAAAAAUUAAGUAUCUUGUUUAGCUUACCAUAUUUUAUUUACACAAGGUCAUGGUAGUCUACAAACUUGCUUCUCGGUACAACAUAUUCUAUCUCAGAUUUGUUCAUAUGAAUGAAAAGUUUAUUUUUCAGUGCAAAAAAUUGAACCUGUCGAUUUUGUAUUUUACUUCAUUGAUGGCACCUCCUUUGCCUAUGUCUACAACCCUUUACGUUAUGUUAGAAGACAUAAUGAAUCGUUUACAUUUGCAAACUACCAUAAUCUUGUAUCUUUAUUUGAGGCACUGUAGAUGUUUGUGUGGACGUCGUAGGCGGCACUUGAUAACACUACUCUCUAAUAGGUCGGAUUCCUGCUACAAGUCCAUCAUAUGAGUCUGCUUGUCUCUGUUAGCGAUACCGAUUGCUUAGUCAAUUUUCGUAUGGACAGGAAUACAUUUGGGAGAUUGUGUGUUCUUCUAAAGGAAGUAGGGGGUUUACAUGGUAGGUAUGUGUUCGUUGAGGACCAGGUUGCAAUGUCAUCACACAAAAAAAUCAAAUUAUAGGUUUCAACUUCAAACGGUCAGGUGAAACUAUUUCCCAUUAUGUGCACCGUGUUCUCUUAGCUGUUAUCAAGUUGCACAUAGUUUUGUUGCCUACACCAGAUCCCGUCACGGAGGAUAAUUUGGACCCAAGGUGGAAAUAUUUUAAGGGAUAUAUUGGAACGUUAGACGUGACGUAUAUCAAUGUCCUAGUUAGCAACACGGACAAACCAUGUUAUCGCAACCGACCCUCGCGGUUUGUGACUGCAAAAUGAGGUUCAUGUAUUUUUUAUCGGGCUGGGAAGGGUCAGCCGGUGAUUCUCAAGUGCUCCGAGAUGCCGUCAGAAGGGAAGAUGGCUUAAGGUUCCUAAAGGUUGUGAUGUGUAAAAUUGUAUGUAGAACUAGUAUGUAGCUUAUUGCAAAUGAUAUUUUCUGGCUGUAAUAUGACUAAAUUAUACACGUACUUCUUCAUCUAGGUAAUUACUUUUUAUAUGAUAACGGAUAUGCAAACGCUGAAGGAUUUUUUACACCCUUCAAAGGUGUCCAUUAUCAUUUAAAAAAAUGAGGAGUAGGCAACCGAAGACCACAAAAUGCCCAUGAGUUGUCCAACCUACGACACAGUAAAGCACGAACAUAAUUGAGCGUGCUUUCGUUGUGUUAAAGAUGCGAUGGGGUGUUCUCCGGAGUGUCAGCUUCUAUCCCAUAAAAACUCAAAUUAGGUUGAUCAUAACAUGCAUUUUGCUGCACAAUUUUAUCCGGGGUGAAAUAACAAACAAUCCAGUUGAGGAAGCAAUUGAUAUUGGACAUAAGAUGUUGUGAACACGAUGACUAUACUGACAUGGAAUACAUUGUCCAAGUUGAAGCUACAACUGAUUGGACUCUAAUGCGGGAAGACUUGGAAAAUUCCAUGUGGUUAAAUGUGUUGUCUUAGUAAUAAGGACAAAUAAGUGUUGCUAUAUUGAAUUGACAAUGUGGUUCCUGUUUUCAGUUGGUAUUGAAGUUAUUUUGGUUUAUUAUUCGAUGUA